AUUGAACGCUGGCGGCAGGCCUAACACAUGCAAGUCGAGCGGAGCGGCGGACGGGUGAGUAAUGCCUAGGAAUCUGCCUGGUAGUGGGGGAUAACGUCCGGAAACGGGCGCUAAUACCGCAUACUAUCAGAUGAGCCUAGGUCGGAUUAGCUAGUUGGUGGGGUAAAGGCCUACCAAGGCGACGAUCCGUAACUGGUCUGAGAGGAUGAUCAGUCACACUGAAACGGAGACACGGUCCAGAGCCCUCCGGGAGGCAGCAGUGGGGAAUAUUGGACAAUGGGAGAAAGCCGGAUCCAGCCAUGCCGCGUGUGGGAAGAAGGCCUUCGGGUUGGAAAGUACUUUCAGUCGGGAGGCGUUACCGACAGAAGAAGCACCGGCUAACUCCGUGCCAGCAGCCGCGGUAAUUC
rnacentral:rRNA from 1 species